AGGUUUCCUUCUAGUAUUUUCUGUAGGUCAGAGAUGAGAGCCUAUAUCUAUCCUCAAUGUUCUGACCUGGAAACAUAUAAAUGUUUAGUAGUCUAACACC
rfam:Mus musculus chromosome 14, GRC primary reference assembly.